AGUUUGAUCCUGGCUCAGAACGAACGCUGGCGGCAGGCUUAACACAUGCAAGUCGAACGCAUCCUUCGGGGUGAGUGGCAGACGGGUGAGUAACGCGUGGGAACCUACCUUUAGGUCUGGAAUAACUGAGGGAAACUUCAGCUAAUACCGGAUGGACCCGUGAGGGUAAAGAUUUAUCGCCUGAAGAUGGGCCCGCGCAGGAUUAGCUAGUUGGUGGGGUAAAGGCCUACCAAGGCGACGAUCCUUAGCUGGUCUGAGAGGAUGAUCAGCCACACUGGGACUGAGACACGGCCCAGACUCCUACGGGAGGCAGCAGUGGGGAAUAUUGGACAAUGGGCGCAAGCCUGAUCCAGCCAUGCCGCGUGAGUGAUGAAGGCCCUAGGGUUGUAAAGCUCUUUCGCACGUGACGAUAAUGACGGUAGCGUGAGAAGAAGCCCCGGCUAACUUC
rnacentral:rRNA from 1 species